rnacentral:rRNA from 1 species
AGAGUUUGAUCCUGGCUCAGGACGAACGCUGGCGGCGUGCUUAACACAUGCAAGUCGAGCGGUAAGGCCCCUUCGGGGGUACACGAGCGGCGAACGGGUGAGUAACACGUGAGCAAUCUGCCCUUCACAUCGGGAUAACUCCGGGAAACCGAAGCUAAUACCGAAUACGACUACUUCAGGCAUCUGAUGGUGGUGGAAAGUUCCGGCGGUGAAGGAUGAGCUCGCGGCCUAUCAGCUAGUUGGUGGGGUAACGGCCCACCAAGGCUUCGACGGGUAGCCGGCCUGAGAGGGUGACCGGCCACACUGGGACUGAGACACGGCCCAGACUCCUACGGGAGGCGGCAGUGGGGAAUAUUGGACAAUGGGCGAAAGCCUGAUCCAGCAACGCCGCGUGAGGGAUGACGGCCUUCGGGUUGUAAACCUCUUUCAGCAGGGACGAAGCGCAAGUGACGGUACCUGCAGAAGAAGCACCGGCCAACUACGUGCCAGCAGCCGCGGUAAUACGUAGGGUGCGAGCGUUGUCCGGAAUUAUUGGGCGUAAAGGGCUCGUAGGCGGUUUGUCACGUCGGGAGUGAAAACUCAGGGCUUAACCCUGAGCCUGCCUCCGAUACGGGCAGACUAGAGGUAUGCAGGGGAGAACGGAAUUCCUGGUGUAGCGGUGAAAUGCGCAGAUAUCAGGAGGAACACCGGUGGCGAAGGCGGUUCUCUGGGCAUUACCUGACGCUGAGGAGCGAAAGUGUGGGGAGCAAACAGGAUUAGAUACCCUGGUAGUCCUAGCCGUAAACGAUGGGCACUAGGUGUGGGGGUACAACUCCCUCCGUGCCGCAGCUAACGCAUUAAGUGCCCCGCCUGGGGAGUACGGCCGCAAGGCUAAAACUCAAAGGAAUUGAUGG